rnacentral:rRNA from 1 species
UGUUAGGUCAAGGUGCAGUAUAAGAAAGAAAAAAAAUGGAUUACUAUAAAAAAAUAUGUAUGAAUUUUAAAUUUAUUUAUUAAAUAAAACAGGAUUUAAAAGUAAACUUAUUAAAGUAAUAAAAUGAAUAUAGAUUCUGGAAUAUGUACACAUUGCCCGUCGCUCUUGCUCAAAGUAAGAUAAGUCGUAACAUAGUAGGUGUACCGGAAGGUGUUCCUGGAAGUAAAAGUAAAUAGCUUAAGAAAAGUUUAUUACUUACACUAAUAAGAUAUUAAUAUAAUUUUGCUUUUUAUUUCAAAUUUUAUGACAGAAAUUAGUGAAAAAUUUUAUGAUAGAUUAUAACUGUAAGGGGGGAGCCUUACAGUAAUGUUAUUAAAAAAUUUAGUAAUUGUACCUUU